rnacentral:rRNA from 1 species
AGAGUUUGAUCCUGGCUCAGAUUGAACGCUGGCGGCGUGCUUAACACAUGCAAGUCGAACGUGAAAGUCCUUCGGGGCGAGUAAAGUGGCGCACGGGUGAGUAACGCGUGGAUAAUCUACCCUUAAGAUGGGGAUAACGGCUGGAAACGGUCGCUAAUACCGAAUACGCUCCCGAUUUUAUCAUUGGGGGGAAAGAUGGCCUCUGCUUGCAAGCUAUCGCUUAAGGAUGAGUCCGCGUCCCAUUAGCUAGUUGGCGGGGUAACGGCCCACCAAGGCGACGAUGGGUAGCCGGUCUGAGAGGAUGACCGGCCACACUGGAACUGGAACACGGUCCAGACUCCUACGGGAGGCAGCAGUGGGGAAUAUUGCGCAAUGGGCGAAAGCCUGACGCAGCGACGCCGCGUGAGGGAUGAAGGUUCUCGGAUCGUAAACCUCUGUCAGGGGGGAAGAAACCCCCUCGUGUGAAUAAUGCGAGGGCUUGACGGUACCCCCAAAGGAAGCACCGGCUAACUCCGUGCCAGCAGCCGCGGUAAUACGGAGGGUGCAAGCGUUAAUCGGAAUCACUGGGCGUAAAGCGCACGUAGGCGGCUUGGUAAGUCAGGGGUGAAAUCCCACAGCCCAACUGUGGAACUGCCUUUGAUACUGCCAGGCUUGAGUACCGGAGAGGGUGGCGGAAUUCCAGGUGUAGGAGUGAAAUCCGUAGAUAUCUGGAGGAACACCGGUGGCGAAGGCGGCCACCUGGACGGUAACUGACGCUGAGGUGCGAAAGCGUGGGUAGCAAACAGGAUUAGAUACCCUGCUAGUCCACGCUGUAAACGAUGGGUGCUGGGUGCUGGGAUGUAUGUCUCGGUGCCGUAGCUAACGCGAAUAAGCACCCCGCCUGGGGAGUUACGGUCGCAAGGCUGAAAACUCAAAGAAAUUGACGGGGGGCCCGCACAGGCGG